rnacentral:lncRNA from 1 species
GUGGAAAUGAAUAAAGAUUGAAUAAUAAGUUAUCUAGCCUUCUCAACCUUGUUUUCAAGGUUAUGUGAUGUCUUUGAUAAGACAGAUUUAUAGAAAGCUGAAAUCACUUACUUGAAUUCAAGUCAGAUCCUUUGUUCUUUCUUAAAAAUUUACAGACUGAUUACAAAUUAUACAAAUGAAAACACUUGAGGAUAAGAUAACAAUCUUCUCUAAAGCAGAUGCUCUUACUUUGGAUUAGUUAAUAAACUUGGUAGAGUCUAUGAAUCUACCAAAAUUAUAGUCACUCAUCACACACACACACACACACACACACACUUAAACAAUAUAGUAUAAUAUAUACAUGAUGUUUACUUUGUAUUAGGCAUAAUGAGUAGUCUAAAGAUGAUUUAGAGUAUAAAGGAGGAUAUGUAUAUGUUAUAUGUAAAUACUAUGUCAUUUUACAUGAAAGAAUUGAGCAUCUGCAGAUUUGGGUAUCCCAGGGAGUUCAUGGAAUUGAUCCCCUCCCUGAAGACGCUAGGGAUGGCUAUAUAUGUAUAUUUUUGCAUAUGUGUAUUGUUUUAUGGAGGUGGUCCUUCACAUUCAUUGAUUCUGAAAGUGACUUAGUUACUAUUUGCUCGCCUAAAACUUAAUAAUUAGAUGAUUUUGAGAACAGAAGGGGGCCUGGUUACAAUAUGUUUGAAUUGGUUUGCCUUAAAGCUCUUGGAAGCAAGACAUGUUCAGGGAAAUAUAUUAGGACACACACACACACACACACACACAUUUGGCAAAGAAAACAUAUAUUUUUAAGUCCAGAAAAAAAAAUCCUUUAGAUUUGUUACAGAUGGAGUAAAAGAUAUGGGGUGAUAUUUGUCGAAUUUUUGUAACAGAUGCUAAUGUAAUUUUGCAAAGGUUUCACAGAUACUAUUGAAAUAAGUGGUCCUAGUAUUGACCCUGUAUUUAAAAAAUAUGAAAUAUUAAAUAUAGCUUAGUUUUAGUUUGUGUAAAGAAAUAAUAUUUCAGAAGAUAAAUGUAAUCUCUCUGAGAUAACAUGCAAACUCUGAUAAUUAUAUAUUAGAAAUAAGACUAUAAAGCUAUAAAAUAUAUAUGCACAUAAUUUCAAGUGUUUUGCCCAAAUAAUUUUAUUUUUAGACCUAUUCAUAUUUAAGGGGAUACUCAGUCAUUCAGGAAGUAUGAAGACUUAAGGGCUUCAAUCAUUAAAUAGAUAACGUCCUUUCCUAGAUCUAAGGAGAGUCAGACAGAAAACAUUCAAAAGCAAGAAAUUCUAACACCUGAGGAUGGUGCAAAGAGGUGUGACCAGCAGUUCAGAGGAGGCUGCUCUGUAGAGGUGGCAUUUAAACAUACUUUUAAUAUGAAUCCAGUCCAGAGAGAAUCUGGAAGAAGAGAUUUCAGGGAAAGAGAGAAGCUUGUGCAAAACUCCUUGAAGCAAAGUCCACCCAGGCUUGUUCAGGGACUGCACUGAGGACAAGAGCACACAAGUGAGGGGAGAGUGACCUGAGAUAAGAUUGGGCAAGAAAACACCAGGCAAUACUGAGCCAAGGAGAGCAAACAGGAUCCAGGAAGAGUUUGUGAACUUCCAGUGAGAACUCCUAUUCUGAAAUCAGGGUCACUGCCUCUUUCUGGAAUCUGACCUCUCAUGAAGUUCAACUUGUUAACCAGACUCUUUUGCAAACAGCAGUGAGUCUUUGAGAUAGGUCAUACUGUUGGAUUGAUACUGCAUGGACACAGGAGGCAUGAGAGACUAACUCAAGAUCUUAAUGCUAAUUUACAAUUGAUAAUUUUGAGGAGCAAAGGGAGAAAUUGAAUGGAUGGAUGAAUAAUUUGAGUGUGUAAUUGCAAUCAUUGAAAAUGUAAUUCGAAAUAAAAGCAUGAGUACAGUAGUACCCCCUUAUUUGUGG